GGCUGUUAAAUGAGGUAGCUGAUGCCUGUUAACUCCUGUUUAGGAGUCUGAUGGCAGCGGGAGAGAAAGAGUCCGAGCAGGUUUCCAGGUUUGUUGGCACCCCACAAGAAAUCAUUCAAUAUUUUUCUACCCCCCCCCCCCCCCCAAAAAAAAAAAAAAAAAAAAAAAAAAAAGACUAACGUCACAAAACAAGUAAUAAUAGAUUUAAAAAAAAAAAUCUAUCCACUUGCUUCAUUCCGUCUGAAGACUGAGCCAAGCCAAAGUGAGUCAUCAUGAGCAGCUUCUCUGCAGAAAGUCAGCUGGAGGGGCGGCGCUGUUAAUCACCUCCACCUGUGUCCAAGGUGGCGGCUCCAACUCUGUUCACCUCCAGUCUUCAUGAUAACUCACAAUCAGAAACACCUGCAUGUCGCCCUUUUCCUGCCCGAACCGACCGAGAAGGAAACGGUUUGUGCGGCUUAGUCGCGGAGGCUGCUCCUUCCUGAUCGGCGCCGUCGACCUCUCAAGAUUUUCAAGACAAUGUACUCCGAGCUUUCUGAGCAAAAAGCAGGAUGUCAUGCAGAAAAUGCUGGAAGAGGACAGACGGAGAAGACCAGCAGAUGUCGAGAAACAGCCAAAGCUCAGGAGCAGCAGGAGGCAGCUAAGAAGGGUUUCCUUCUGCAGGAGCCUGACUGACCUGCAGAGCACAUCUGAUCCAAUCAUCCAGAGCUUCAGUGUAAAAAGGGUUGUCGGCGGUGAUUCUGGUUGUCUGCUGGUUCCUGUGCUGGAAACAUUUGUGUCGGCUUGAUUUUAAAAUGAAAGGUUUGUGGGGAUAGGUAAGUUUGAUAAGAGUCAGGGUUUUGCUUUUAGUUUGAAUUGGGUGUCAGAUUAGCUCCAGUUCUAUUGAAUGUCUUCCAGUUUAUUUGGCACAACCACCUCAUUCCACACUCCUCCACAAUUGUUUUCCUGUAUUAGUUUUUCUUGUUUGUCUCCUUACUAGGAGUUCUAACAUUGAACUUAUCAAGGGACCGCCUAUCAGUAAGUCCCUGAUCCUACUCAUCAACAUUUUUCAUCUUUCAUAGAACUAACUCAGGCGUUUAGUUAUGUCAACGGCAUAUUAUUGAACUAACCAAGGGAGGUGGUACAAAAAUGUUAAACACCCAUCUGUUUACUGAUAGAAGUUGUUCCUGCUAUAUGUUGUUUCAUAUUCUGCAAAAAAAAAAAAAAAAAAUGUAUUUGUAUUUGUUGUGAGCAGACUGAACACAUCAAAGAAGUGACUUCCCCAAAGAGCCACCAGUAAUCAAACUCUCUACAGGGGAGUCAAUGUUAACAUUGUUAAUACAUAUUCCUGUGAUCAUCUCCCUUUUUGCUUUUAAGUCUUGCAGCUAAAGUUUUUGCAUUGAAUCCACUUGGUUGGUCGUAAUUUACCAGCAGUGUUGGGAGAACUGCCACCAGGGAGAAGAACAGAUCUGCUAAAAUGAAUGCAGAAAAACUUAACGCAAAAGUGUGUACAUGUGUAAAGGUGUUAUUUCAAUCCAGUCGGGGUGUGUCUGAUGUAUACACUGCACAAUGCUGGUAUUGAGCAAUUUUUAUAGGCAGAAUGCUGAAAGGUACUUUGGAACCUGGAGUAUUGUGGUUCUGAUAGCAUCUAAUGAGUCCACGUGAACCAUGUGAGAAAUUUCACCAUUGCUACAGCCGACAUGUCAGCAUGUCAGUCCCACUGCUUUGUCCUUUUGUCUUUAACUGUAUUCUGUGCAUAAAAUAACAUGUCCUAAGGAUCUACAUCACGUUGUUGUUGUUGUUUGCCUUGAUGUACUCUGCCUCUCCUAACAGGACACAAAAGCAGAACACAGGCCAGAUUUCAGUGAAAUGGCACACCCAGAACAAACAUAACCUCUUCUUCUGGAUAAAUGUUAGAGGAUUCGUGUUCUAAUGAAGCAAGAAUAAUCAAAUGUAUUUAUGUAGCACCAAAUCAAGAGUUGCAUCAAGUUUCAGAUACACUCAAGAUUACAAUCUGCAGGUCACUUGUCCUGUGCGUUUCUGCACCAUAAGGGAACAGCAUGGAAAAUACUGCAGGAGUCAACCCAGGAACGACUUCCAUGAGAGGAAAAGAAGGAAAAUACCUCUUUAAAACAGACUGACUGCUAAACAUUCAUUUAAUAAUGGCGUGGCAGGGCAGUGCCAAGGAGGAGCCCUGUAAGCCUUGGUGCAAAUGAUCCUUCCUUUAUUAAAUGCUUGGUGUGUUGCAUUGUCAAGGGGGCAGAAGUCGAAUGUGUGAGGGGAUGGUAGAGAGACAACCGAGAACUUGUAGUGUAGCAGAAAUUAUCAAAGGAUGUUUCAUUAACGACAAAACUUCACUUUUACUUUGAAAGUAAAUUUCAGAGCCUGCACUUUCUUACUUCUACCAGAGUAUUAUUUUAUUUUUAUUUUUUUUGUUUUACACAUGUAUCUGUACUUCUACUUAAGUACAGAAUGAGUACUUUUGCCAACUCUGAAAAUAAUAGUAGAUAAAAAAAUCUAUCCACUUGCUUCAUUCCGUCUGAAGACUGAGCCAAGCCAAAGUGAGUCGUCAUUAAAGCAGCUUCUCUGCAGAAAGUCAGCUCAGAUCUGAUGGAUGGCUGUUAAU
rnacentral:lncRNA from 1 species